UAUUUUUGUUUAUAGUUUGCUCAUUUUUGUCAUAAGAAAAUUCUGCUAAUAUUUUUUCAUUUUGAAUAAUUUUGUGCUUUCUUAACUUCUCAUAAACUGUGACUUAGUAUCUGUAUUUUCAUUGUUCAAGUGAGAUUGGGGAACAAUGUCAUGGAGAAGGUCUUUGAUUUGGGACUAUGAUCACAUUAUGAGAAAGAAUGCUUAUAGGCAUUGGAGCCAGAACUCCUAUCCUCCUUUGAAAUUGUAGUCAAGUUUGGGAACCAACUUUUCAAUUUUAUGCCAUUUGUUGUAGUAUGUGUUAUUGGUCGAUGGAUUUUUAAAGAGUUUUAAAAUUUUCAUAUUCAACAGUUAUUGGUUAAUGAAUUAUUACAUUCUUCGUAAAAUCUAGUAUUAUUGAUUUGAUGACUUUUAAAUUCUAUCAACAAUCUCUUUUUAUUCAAAAAAUUUAGUUAUCAUUGAUUUUACAAUUCUAUUAUAUCCAUGGGA
rnacentral:sRNA from 1 species